GUCGAGUUUAUUUAGAGGUUGAAUUGGACAGAGAAGUCGAGUUUAUUUAGAGGUUGAAUUGGACAGAGAAGUCGAGUUUAUUUAGAGGUUGUAUUGGAUAGAAGUCAAGUUUAUUUAGAGGUUGUAUUGGACAGAAGUUGAGUUUAUUUAGAGGUUGAAUUGGACAGACAGAAAGAAGUAAAGUUUAUUUAGAGGUUGUAUUGGACAAAGAGAGAAGUCGAGUUUAUUUAAAGGUUGUAUUGGACAGAGAGAGAAGUCGAGUUGAUUUAGAGGUUGUAUUAGACAGAGAGAGAAGUCAAGUUUAUUUAGAGGUUGUAUUGGACAGAGAGAGAGAGAAGUCGAGUUGAUUUAGAGGUUGUAUUAGACAGAGAGAGAAGUCAAGUUUAUUUAGAGGUUGUAUUGGACAGACAGAAAGAAGUCAAGUUUAUUUAGAGGUUGUAUUGGACAGAGAGAGAAGUCGAGUUGAUUUAGAGGUUGUAUUAGACAGACAGAGAGAAGUCAACACUAUUAUCCCAGAAACCCUAGACCCACUCCAAUUUGAAUACCGCCUAAACAGAUCCACAGAUGAUGCAAUCUCUAUUGCACUCCACACUGCCCUUUCCCACCUGGACAAAAGGAACACUUAUGUUAGAAUGCUGUUCAUUGACUACAGCUCAGCGUUCAACACCAUAGUGCCCUCAAAGCUCAUCACUAAGCUAAGGAUCCUGGGACUAAACACCUCCCUCUGCAACUGGAUCCUGGAUUUCCUGACGGGCCGCCCCCAGAUGGUGAGGGUAGGUAGCAACACAUCUGCCACACUGAUCCUCAACGCUGGAGCUCCCCAGGGGUGCGUGUUCAGUCAAAUCAAAUCAAAUCAAAUGUAUUUAUAUAGCCCUUCGUACAUCAGCUGAUAUCUCAAAGUGCUGUACAGAAAACCAGCCUAAAACCCCAAACAGCAAGCAAUGCAGGUGUAGAAGCACGGUGGCUAGGAAAAACUCCCUAGAAAGGCCAAAACCUAGGAAGAAACCUAGAGAGGAACCAGGCUAUGUGGGGUGGCCAGUCCUCUUCUGGCUGUGCCGGGUGGAGAUUAUAACAGAAUAUGGCCAAGAUGUUCAAAUGUUCAUAAAUGACCAGCAUGGUCGAAUAAUAAUAAGGCAGAAAAGUUGAAACUGGAGCAGCAGCACGGCCAGGUGGACUGGGGACAGCAAGGAGUCAUCAUGUCAGGUAGUCCUGGGGCAUGGUCCUAGGGCUCAGGUCCUCCGAGAGAGAGAAAGAAAGAGAGGAGAGAAUUAGAACGCACACUUAGAUUCACACAGGACACCGAAUAGGACAGGAGAAGUACUCCAGAUAUUACAGACUGACCCUAGCCCCCCGACACAUAAACUACUGCAGCAUAAAUACUGGAGGCUGAGACAGGAGGGGUCAGGAGACACUGUGGCCCCAUCCGAGGACACCCCCGGACAGGGCCAAACAGGAAGGAUAUAAGUUCCCUCCUGUACUCCCUGUUCAGUCCCCUCCUGUACUCCCUGUUCACCCACGACUGCAUGGCCAGGCAUGACUCCAACACCAUAAUUAAGUUUGCAGAUGACACAACAGUGGUAGGCCUUAUCACCGACAACGACGAGACAGGCUAUAGGGAGGAGGUCAGAGACCUGGCCGGGUGGUGCCAGAAUAACAACCUAUCCCUCAAUGUAACCAAGACUAAGGAGAUGAUUGUGGACUACAAGAAGAGGAGGACCGGGCACGCCCCCAUUCUCAUCGACGGGGCUGUAGUGGAGCAGGCUGAGAGCUUUAAGUUCCUUGGUGUCCACAUCAACAACAAACUAGAAUGGUCCAAACACACCAAGACAGUCGUGAAGAGGGGACAACUAAGCCUAUUCCCCCCCAGGAAACUAAAAAGAUUUGGCAUGGGUCCUGAGAUCCUCAAAAGGUUCUACAGCUGCAACAUCGAGAGCAUCCUGACUGGUGGCAUCACUGCCUGGUACGGAAAUUGCUCGGCCUCUGACCACAAGGCACUACAGAGGGUAGUGCGUACAGCCCAGUACAUCACUGGGGCUCAGCUGCCUGCCAUCCAGGACCUCUACACCAGGCGGUGUCAGAGGAAGGCCCUAAAGACCCCAGCCACCCCAGUCAUAGACUGUUCUCUCUAUUACCGCAUGGCAAGCGGUACCGGAGUGCCAAGUCUCGGACAAAAAGGCUUCUCAACAGUUUUUACCCCCAAGCCAUAAGACUCCUGAACAGGUAAUCAAAUGGCUACCCGGAGUAUUUGCAUUGUGUAUAGUCACUUAACAAUAUCUACAUGUACAUACUCCCUCAAUCAGCCUGACUAACCGGUGUCUGUACAUAGCCUCGCUACUUUUAUAGCCUCGCUACUGUUAGUUUUCACUGUCUUUUUACUGUUGUUUUUAUUUCCUUACUUACCUAUUAUUCACCUAAUACCUUUUUUGCACUAUUGGUUAGAGCCUGUAAGUAAGCAUUUCACUGUAAGGUCUACACCUGUUGUAUUCGGUGCACGUGACAAAUUAACAUUGAUUUGAUUUAGAGGUUGUAUUAGACAGACAGAGAGAAGUCAAGUUUAUUUAGAGGUUGUAUUGGAUAGACAGAGAGAAAUCAAGUUUAUUUAGAGGUUGUAUUGGAUAGACAGAGAGAAAUCAAGUUUAUUUAGAGGUUGUAUUGGACAGACAGAGAGAAGUCAAGUUUAUUUAGAGGUUGUAUUGGAUAGACAGAGAGAAAUCAAGUUUAUUUAGAG
ensembl:lncRNA